rnacentral:rRNA from 1 species
UGAGGAAUAUUGGUCAAUGGGCGAGAGCCUGAACCAGCCAAGUAGCGUGCAGGAUGACGGCCCUAUGGGUUGUAAACUGCUUUUAUGGGGGGAAAAAGUGCGCGACGUGUCAUGCAUUGCAGGUACCACAUGAAUAAGGACCGGCUAAUUCCGUGCCAGCAGCCGCGGUAAUACGGAAGGUCCGGGCGUUAUCCGGAUUUAUUGGGUUUAAAGGGAGCGUAGGCUGUCUAUUAAGCGUGUUGUGAAAUUUACCGGCUCAACCGGUGGCUUGCAGCGCGAACUGGUCGACUUGAGUAUGCAGGAAGUAGGCGGAAUUCAUGGUGUAGCGGUGAAAUACUUAGAUAUCAUGACGAACUCCGAUUGCGCAGGCAGCUUACUGUAGCAUAACUGACGCUGAGGCUCGAAAGUGCGGGUAUCAAACAGG